rnacentral:rRNA from 1 species
CGGUAAUACGAAGGGGGCUAGCGUUGCUCGGAAUUACUGGGCGUAAAGGGAGCGUAGGCGGACUGUUAAGUUAGAGGUGAAAGCCCAGGGCUCAACCUUGGAAUUGCCUUUGAUACUGGCAGUCUUGAGUACGGAAGAGGUAUGUGGAACUCCGAGUGUAGAGGUGAAAUUCGUAGAUAUUCGGAAGAACACCAGUGGCGAAGGCGACAUACUGGUCCGUUACUGAC